UACGUAGGGUGCGAGCGUUAAUCGGAAUUACUGGGCGUAAAGUGUGCGCAGGCGGCCGAGCAAGUCGAGUGUGAAAGCCCCGAGCUUAACUUGGGAACUGCGCUCGAAACUACUUGGCUAGAGUGUGGCAGAGGGAGGUGGAAUUCCACGUGUAGCGGUGAAAUGCGUAGAGGUGUGGAGGAACACCGAUGGCGAAGGCAGCCUCCUGGGCCAACACUGACGCUCAUGCACGAAAGCGUGGGGAGCAAACAGG
rnacentral:rRNA from 1 species